rnacentral:rRNA from 1 species
GCGAACGCUGGCGGCAGGCCUAACACAUGCAAGUCGAACGAACCUUUCGGGGUUAGUGGCGGACGGGUGAGUAACACGUGGGAACGUGCCUUUAGGUUCGUAAUAGCUCAGGGAAACUUGUGCUAAUACCGAAUGUGCCCUUCGGGGGAAAGAUUAAUCGCCUUUAGAGCGGCCCGCGUCUGAUUAGCUAGUUGGUUGAGGUAAUGGCUCACCAAGGCGACGAUCAGUAGCUGGUCUGAGAGGAUGAUCAGCCACAUUGGGACUGAGACACGGCCCAAACUCCUACGGGAGGCAGCAGUGGGGAAUCUUGCGCAAUGGGCGAAAGCCUGACGCAGCCAUGCCGCGUGAAUGAUGAAGGUCUUAGGAUUGUAAAAUUCUUUCACCGGGGACGAUAAUGACGGUACCCGGAGAAGAAGCCCCGGCUAACUUCGUG